rnacentral:rRNA from 1 species
AUUGAACGCUGGCGGCAGGCCUAACACAUGCAAGUCGAACGGUAGCACAGAGAGCUUGCUCUCGGGUGACGAGUGGCGGACGGGUGAGUAAUGUCUGGGAAACUGCCCGAUGGAGGGGGAUAACUACUGGAAACGGUAGCUAAUACCGCAUAACGUCGCAAGACCAAAGAGGGGGACCUUCGGGCCUCUUGCCAUCGGAUGUGCCCAGAUGGGAUUAGCUUGUAGGUGAGGUAACGGCUCACCUAGGCGACGAUCCCUAGCUGGUCUGAGAGGAUGACCAGCCACACUGGAACUGAGACACGGUCCAGACUCCUACGGGAGGCAGCAGUGGGGAAUAUUGCACAAUGGGCGCAAGCCUGAUGCAGCCAUGCCGCGUGUAUGAAGAAGGCCUUCGGGUUGUAAAGUACUUUCAGCGGGGAGGAAGGGAGUGAGGUUAAUAACCUUAUUCAUUGACGUUACCCGCAGAAGAAGCACCGGCUAACUCCGUGCCAGCAGCCGCGGUAAUACGGAGGGUGCAAGCGUUAAUCGGAAUUACUGGGCGUAAAGCGCACGCAGGCGGUCUGUCAAGUCGGAUGUGAAAUCCCCGGGCUCAACCUGGGAACUGCAUUCGAAACUGGCAGGCUGGAGUCUUGUAGAGGGGGGUAGAAUUCCAGGUGUAGCGGUGAAAUGCGUAGAGAUCUGGAGGAAUACCGGUGGCGAAGGCGGCCCCCUGGACAAAGACUGACGCUCAGGUGCGAAAGCGUGGGGAGCAAACAGGAUUAGAUACCCUGGUAGUCCACGCUGUAAACGAUGUCGACUUGGAGGUUGUUCCCUUGAGGAGUGGCUUCCGGAGCUAACGCGUUAAGUCGACCGCCUGGGGAGUACGGCCGCAAGGUUAAAACUCAAAUGAAUUGACGGGGGCCUGCACAAGCGGUGGAGCAUGUGGUUUAAUUCGAUGCAACGCGAAGAACCUUACCUACUCUUGACAUCCAGAGAACUUAGCAGAGAUGCUUUGGUGCCUUCGGGAACUCUGAGACAGGUGCUGCAUGGCUGUCGUCAGCUCGUGUUGUGAAAUGUUGGGUUAAGUCCCGCAACGAGCGCAACCCUUAUCCUUUGUUGCCAGCGAUUCGGUCGGGAACUCAAAGGAGACUGCCAGUGAUAAACUGGAGGAAGGUGGGGAUGACGUCAGGUCAUCAUGGCCCUUACGAGUAGGGCUACACACGUGCUACAAUGGCAUAUACAAAGAGAAGCGACCUCGCGAGAGCAAGCGGACCUCAUAAAGUAUGUCGUAGUCCGGAUUGGAGUCUGCAACUCGACUCCAUGAAGUCGGAAUCGCUAGUAAUCGUGGAUCAGAAUGCCACGGUGAAUACGUUCCCGGGCCU